GCACUUCUUCCAUUCUCUUUGCUCUAAAUCCGGAUUAGUACAUUAAGGAUGUCACUCUAGGAUCAUUUAUAUAAGGGAAAAUGGUCUGUGUCAGGUGCUAUCCCCUGUCACAUAAAAACCAGGAAAGGCAUCAUAAAAAGUUCUGUACCCUCUGAGGCAGAACUCAUUGUUAUGAGACAAACCUAUGCCAGAG
rnacentral:lncRNA from 12 species